rnacentral:rRNA from 1 species
UACGAAGGGGGCUAGCGUUGUUCGGAAUUUCUGGGCGUAAAGGGCGCGUAGGCGGUACUUCAAGUCAGGCGUGAAAGCCCCGGGCUCAACCUGGGAACCGCGCUUGAGACUGGAGAACUCGAGUUCGGGAGAGGAUGGUGGAAUUCCCAGUGUAGAGGUGAAAUUCGUAGAUAUUGGGAAGAACACCGAUGGCGAAGGCAGCCAUCUGGACCGACACUGACGCUGAGGCGCGAAAGCGUGGGGAGCAAACGGG